UCUUCCACAAUGGGCGAAAGCCUGAUGGAGCGACACCGCGUGAAGGAUGAAGCCUUUGUUGGUGUAAACUUCUUUUCUCUUGGAAGAUAAUGACGGUACAAGAGGAAUAAGGGGCGGCAAACUUCGUGCCAGCAGCCGCGGUAAUACGAGGGCCCCAAGCGUUAUCCGGAAUUACUGGGCGUAAAGCGUCUGUAGGUGGUUUUUUAAGUUUCGUAUGAAACUCCAGGGCUCAACCCUGGAUUGUGCGAAAAACUGGGGAACUUGAGUGUGGGAGAGGCAAGCAGAACGGUAUGAGUAGGGGUGCAAUCCGUUGAUACAUACCAGAAUACCAAAAGCGAAGGCAGCUUGCUGGAACACUACUGACACUGAGAGACGAAAGCGUGGGGAGCGAAAGGGAUUAGAUACCCCUGUAGUCCACGCCCUAAACGAUGGAUGCUAGGUGUUGGACGUAAGUUCAGUGCUCAAGCUAACGCAUUAAGCAUCCCGCCUGAGGAGUACGGCCGCAAGGUUAAAACUCAAAUGAAUAGACGGGGACCCGCACAAGCAGUGGAUCAUGUGGUUUAAUUCGACAAUAAACGAGGAACCUCACCUAGGCUUGACAUUGAUAGAAUCCACCAGAAAUGGAGGAGUGCCCGCAAGGGAGCUUGAAAACAGGCGCUGCAUGGUUGUCGUCAGCUCGUGCCUUGAGGUGUUCGGUUAAGUCCGUUAACGAGCGCAACCCACGUCGUUAGUUACUAUGUCUAACGAGACUGCUUGAGUUAAUCAAGAGGAAGGUGUGGAUGACGUCAAAUCAGCAUGGCCCUUAUGCCUAGGGCUACACACAUGAUACAAUGGUCGGUACAAACAGUCGCAAUACAGCAAUGUGGAGCCAAUCUGAAAAAGCCGAUCUCAGUCCAGAUUGGGGGCUGCAACUCGCCCCCAUGAAGUUGGAAUUGCUAGUAAUCGUAAAUCAGCUAUGUUACGGUGAAUCUGUUCCCGGGUCUUGUACUCACCGCCCGUCAAACCAUGGGAGGUGUGCGUACCUUAAGCCCUUCGAGCAAUACGGAGGUCCACGGUAAACACACUGACUGGGGUUAAGUCGUAACAAGGUAUCCGUACGUGAACGUGCGGAUG
rnacentral:rRNA from 1 species